ensembl:lncRNA
GCUGCAAGUGGGUCAGGAGAUCAGAGUGGACCGAGUAGGCCCUGGAAUGCUCUGCUGGGAGGCCUGCCAGGAGGACUUCAGUCCCCCACCCCGCCCCCAUCCUCCCCCCAGGGGCAGGAUGACUCGGCAUUUCCUAUUAUUAUUAUUAAGGCCAACCCCAGAGGCCCUGGCAAGGCUGACUGCUGUUAAAACUGGACUGUUCUCCUUCUGGUUCCUGGUUCAUUCUAGGUCUGUGUAGUAAAAGGCUGUUCCAGAAGGGAUGUAUAAUCCAUCCUUGUAUUUAAUACUCUUUUAUUACUUUUUUAAUUUGGGCCAACAGCCUGAGCUGGUCAGGCUUUGGGCUGACACCAGCUGCUUUAUCUGGCCACAUUGUCACAUAAUAAUAAGUAAUCUUUAUUGGUGAUCGCUAGGUGCUGACAUUGUGUGGAAGAACUUUCCCGGACAUCCCUUUUAAUUCUCAGAAGCAGGCCACAAGGUAGGUAUUAUCAUCUCCAUUUGCAGAUGAGAAAACUGAGGCUUAGAGAUGUUAAUUAAAUUGCUCAAGGAUUGAGAAUCUAACUCAAGCCUUUUCACUUAAGAGUCCCUGCUCUUAUCCUGUACCCUCUACUGCCUGGCAGAGAUUAGAAAUGGUUUAUUGAGAUUAAACAAAAAUCAGAAGGUGAUCAUAUGCAGGAGAAAAUUAAAGUGAGCCAAGAAUGUGAUGAGAAGGCAAGGUUAGAAUGGGGGAAGCACCUGCUGCUGGGAGAAAAUCCAACGUGGCUCAAACCACUGGCCCUUUCUGGCCAGAAAAGCUCCUCCCUAGAGGCUCCUUUACCUGAUUAACAUCUCUUCAAGAUGGACUCGUCUUGUUAUCUUUGUUUUCCAUGUAUGCAUUCCAUGGAUUUUUUUAGAUCUGUAUUCUUCCAGCCAUCAGGGGACAGGUGUGUAUUCAGUGAGACUGGAGAGGCACCUGUCAUACUGUUGCCCCAUCUCCAACCCUCACUAAAAUUUUCACUGUUACAGUAACUGGGUAAGGCAGUAAAGGCUGGGGCAUUGUCUUCAAAGGUUAUCACUGAAAUGCACACAUUGUCCUUGUGGGGGACUGGCAUUGGCCACCCGAAGAUAUGUCUCUUUGGCAUGAGGAUUAUUUGGGGCUGAUUACUUUUAAUGACCUGCAGACAGGAAAGGAGCUCUGAGAAGUAGAAUUUACUUACCAUUUGUUAAGAAACAUUUACAUUUGUAAGGGAAAUCUCCAUCUGUAAAGUUGUCUCCCUCUCUGUACCAGGAAGAAGGGGGAUGACCUUAUCUCUAGAAACUCCUAUCAAUACAGAAUGCAAGGACUUAAAUCUGCAUAAUAAUCUUAUUCCUGUUUAUUGUACUUGUCUGGUAACCUCCUGUAACUGACUUCCCCCACCCCCAACAUCCUCCUUUGUCUUUCGCUGGAUAUGAUAUUUAAGGUGGUGGCUUCAGCCAUUUUGGCGAGUUGCUCAGCUUGCCUGACCCUCUCCCAUGUAUACAUGUUAUAAAGCUUUGUUUAAUUUUCUCCUGUUAUUCUGUCUCAUGUGAAUUUAAUUUGUUCUCUGGCCAGAAGAACCCACAGUGGGUAGAGGAACUGUCUUCCUCCCCUACAUCCUCAAAGGCAAACUCCACGAAGGCAAAGAUUUUGUCUUGUGGUUCACGUUUCCAUAUCCCUAGCUAUGGGAACAUAGAAGGUGACCUUUAUGUAUUGAAUUAAGAAUUUAUAAAUAAAUGAAUUAAACAGAUGAACAGGAGGCAUAGUAUCCUGUGAAGCCUUUGUUGACACUCUUGUCUAGCUGAUUCAUUGACUUUGCAAAGCAGAGAAUGGGGAGGAAUAGGUCACAGGUAAUAUUUUUUGGGGAUGUGAUUGGGUAGGAUUAGGGAUGGGGAAGUUUGGAGCUUGGGGCUCUAUAGUGGGAGCCCCUGGAGAACUGGUGGGGAGUGUAAACUUCCCAGUCUAACUCCCUCUCCACUUCAGUGUCAAUGUCUGUAUACUGUCUUCGCAUGCUUCCCUCAACUUUAGAAGGAGAGGUGUCCUUCUGACUUAAAAAGGCUAAAAUCUCUAGUUUUAGCCCUUCUCUGGCAUUUUUGCUCUUUCUCCCCAAUGAUGGCUUCAAAUAAGCACAGGUGUUCCUCCUUCAAGAAAAACAAAACAAAUAAAAACAAAACCUGGUUUGACUGUGCAGUUUUUUCUGGUCAUCACUGAUGCGGGGUCGGUGAGCCGAGGAGUCGAAAGAAAGAUUUCUUAGACUCUCAAGAUCUGGCAGUAGUGCUCUUUUAUUUAGAGAAUAGUGUGGAAUAGCAUGGGGACAGGACCCAUGGGCAGGCAGAGCUGGUGCGUGGGGACAGGACCCACGGGCAGUCAGAGCUCCUGCUGCUGCCCCCGCUGGCAUGGGGACAGGGCCCAUGGGCAGGCAGAGCUCCUGCUGCUGCCCCCGCUGGCAUGGGGACAGGACCCAUGGGCAGGCAGAGCUCCUGCUGCUGCCCCCGCUGGCAUGGGGACAGGUCCCAUGGGCAGGCAGAGCUGGUGUGUGGGGACAAGACCCACAGGCAGUCAGAGCUCCUGCUGCUGCCCUGAGUUGAGGGUUAGGGCUAAUUUUAUAAGGCAUGGGUACGUGACUUAUUUUUACUGGAGAAAAGAAAAGAUGAUGUAAAAAGUCAUUAAAUGAUUUCAGUGCAGAUGGGGUCUGGUUAUUGUGCGGUCAUAUAACUUUAGAUACGAAUCUGGCCAUAUAGAUCGGCAUGCAGGUGAGGAUGCCCUGGGCUUCUCUCCCUGGGGCAGUCCUAAUUCAUACCAUAAAAAAAGUCCACUGGGUCAUAUAGUUUGGCAUGUAGGCCAGGUCACCUUGGGCUUCUCUAGCUGGGGCAGCCUUAAUCCACAUCAAUCACCCUAUUUCUCUUCCAUUUACUGUUACACUUGAAAAAAUGGUCGCACAUUUUAUCUUCAUUUUUCUACUACCCACUUACUCUUAAUUCCUUGAAAUCUGGCUUCUCCUGCUGCUGCUUUACUAAAACGUUCUCUUUCUGUCUUUUGUAGAAAUCAAACAGAACGAAACACUUUACAUCAGACUACUAGUUGUCCCUGAAAAUCCUUUCCCUUUCUUCCUUUUAUGAAUAAAACUUUCCCGAAUUUUAGCUGGGCAUAUGGAUGCCCACCUAGAGACUACGUUUCCCAUCCUCCCUUGUGGUGGGGCAUGGACAUUUAGCCAGGAGCUGGGGGCAACUUCCUGCUUCCCCCAAAUUAACUGUCUUGUCCUUCCUCUUUUGUUCUCACUGUUGACUAGAAGCAGCCUGGGAAAUUGGUGGUCAAGUGGGCAGGGCUGGCAUGUUCUGCACAGCAGUGCCUUUCUACCAGCCCUGGACUAUAUCAUUUCUGGAUCUUUAUGUAAGAGAGAAAUAAGCUUAUACUGUAUUUUAAUCUUUCUGUCUUGGGGUCUCUUUGUUACAGCAGCUUAGCAUGUAUCCUAAUAAAAUCCUUUAUUUCUUAUUUAAAAAGUAAUAUGCAUUCACUGUAGAAACUCCAUAACUUAAUGAUACAUAAAAGAUGACACAAUUCCUGUUGAACCUCCUACUUUUCUGAUUGAUUAUUCUCAGUAGUCUGUGCUUAAUUGCCUUCUUUUCUCUCUCC